rnacentral:rRNA from 1 species
UACGUAGGGGCCGAGCGUUGUCCGGAGUUAUUGGGCGUAAAGCGCGCGCAGGCGGCCUCGCGCGCCCGACGUGAAAGCCCCCGGCUUAACCGGGGAGGGUCGUUGGGGACGGCGGGGCUUGAGGGCGGGAGAGGGCGGUGGAAUUCCCGGUGUAGUGGUGAAAUGCGUAGAUAUCAGGAGGAACACCGGUGGCGAAGGCGCACAUCUGGCCCGAUACUGACGCUGAGGCGCGAAAGCUAGGGGAGCAAACAGG